rnacentral:misc_RNA from 1 species
GGAAGUAAAAGUCGUAACAGGGUUUCCGUAGGUGAACCUGCGGAAGGAUCAUUAAUGUGUUUGGGCCUCACGGCUCUUCAUUCCGACGCUGUGCGCCUUCGGGCUGCACGCUGAGGGAGCAUAUAUCCACCCCUGUGCACACACACGGUGGCGAGCUGGGUAACGGCUCGCCGCUGAUCUUUACACACGUCUAAAAGUCAUUGUAUGUUUAUUUGAGAUAAAAACACAACUUUCAGCAACGGAUCUCUUGGCUCUC